ACGCUCGACACCUACGUGAGGCAGCAGUGGGGAAUAUUGCACAAUGGGGGAAACCCUGAUGCAGCGACGCCGCGUGGAGGAAGAAGGUCUUCGGAUUGUAAACUCCUGUUGUUGGGGAAAAAGAGGAUGGUACCACAAGAAGUAGUAGGCGUACUACGUUCAGCAGCCGCGGUACUCGUAGNGCGGCGUGGCAGGCAG
rnacentral:rRNA from 1 species